rnacentral:rRNA from 1 species
CAGCCGCCACGGUAAUACGAAGGGUGCAAGCGUUACUCGGAAUUACUGGGCGUAAAGCGUGCGUAGGUGGUGGUUUAAGUCCGUUGUGAAAGCCCUGGGCUCAACCUGGGAAUUGCAGUGGAUACUGGGUCACUAGAGUGUGGUAGAGGAUAGUGGAAUUUCCGGUGUAGCAGUGAAAUGCGUAGAGAUCGGAAGAAACAUCUGUGGCGAAGGCGACUAUCUGGGCCAACACUGACACUGAGGCACGAAAGCGUGGGGAGCAAACAGGAUUAGAUACCCCCGUAGUCCCUGUCUCUUAUAC